rnacentral:tRNA from 1 species
UUAAUUGAAGCCAAAAAGAGGCUUAUCACUGUUAAUGAUAAAACUGAAUAAAUAUUCCAAUUAAA